rnacentral:tRNA from 2 species
GGGCGCAUAGCUCAAUGGCAGAGCACCGUGCUGAUAACGCGGGGGUUGAUGGUUCGAAUCCAUCUGCGCCCACCU